GCUGGCGGCGUGCCUAAUACAUGCAAGUCGAGCGGGGCUGUUUGCUGGAAGCCUUCGGGCGGAAAGCUUGCAGCCUAGCGGCGGACGGGUGAGUAACGCGUGGGUAACCUGUCCUGAAGUACGGGAUAACAGUUCGAAAGGGCUGCUAAUACCGUAUGUGGUCAAGGGGAGUUCGCUUUCUUUGACUAAAGGUGAAAACCGCUUCAGGGUGGGCCCGCGUCCCAUUAGCUAGUUGGUAGGGUAAUGGCCUACCAAGGCGACGAUGGGUAGCCGGCCUGAGAGGGUGACCGGCCACACUGGGACUGAGACACGGCCCAGACUCCUACGGGAGGCAGCAGUAGGGAAUCUUGCGCAAUGGGGGAAACCCUGACGCAGCGACGCCGCGUGAGUGAAGAAGGCCUUCGGGUCGUAAAGCUCUGUCCUCCGGGAAGAUAAUGACGGUACCGGAGGAGGAAGCCCCGGCUAACUACGUGCCAGCAGCCGCGGUAAU
rnacentral:rRNA from 1 species